rnacentral:rRNA from 1 species
UACGUAGGGUGCCGGCGUUAAUCGGAAUUACUGGGCGUAAAGCGUGCGCAGGCGGUUUCUUAAGUCAGUUGUGAAAGCCCCGGGCUUAACCUGGGAACUGCGUUUGAAACUGGGAGACUCGAGUGCGGCAGAGGGGGGUGGAAUUCCACGUGUAGCAGUGAAAUGCGUAGAUAUGUGGAGGAACACCGAUGGCGAAGGCAGCCCCCUGGGUCAACACUGACGCUCAUGCACGAAAGCGUGGGGAGCAAACAGG